CGAAGAAUGUUUCUCUUGGAGCAUAUUCUGUCAGUUUGCUGGAAGCAUGUUUGCUGUAUGUUUUUGCUACAUCAGUCUAACUCUCGUUCCAUUAAACAGUGUAGAAGCCAUCACAUAUUUUGUGCUGAUAUUUAACCUUAGUUUUCAAAUAUUAUUUUACUGCCACUAUGGAACACUGCUGUAUGAGGAGAAUAAUGACUUAAUAAACGCAAUUUAUAUGGGCCCGUGGUAC